GGAUCCAGACUUUGAUCAUGGCUCAGGAUGAACGCUAGCAGCAGGCUUAACACAUGCAAGUCGAGGGGCAGCGCGGGAUAGCAAUAUUCUGGCGGCGACCGGCGGAAGGGUGCGUAACGCGUGAGCGACAUGCCCGUUGCCCGGGGACAACCGGUGGAAACGCCGACUAAUCCCCGAUGGGAUACGAUGCUGCAUGGCAUUGUAUUGAAAGUUACGGCGGCGACGGAUUGGCUCGCGUCCGAUUAGCUUGUUGGCGGGGUGACGGCCCACCAAGGCUACGAUCGGUAGGGGUUCUGAGAGGAAGGCCCCCCACAAUGGGACUGAGACACGGCCCAUACUCCUACGGGAGGCAGCAGUGAGGAAUAUUGGUCAAUGGGCGGAAGCCUGAACCAGCCAUGCCGCGUGCGGGAAGGAGGCCCUAUGGGCUGUGAACCGCUUUUGCCUGGGGGCAAUAAGGGCGUCGCGCACGUCCGAUGAGAGUACCAGGCGAAUAAGCAUCGGCUAACUCCGUGCCAGCAGCCGCGGUAAUACGGGGGAUGCGAGCGUUAUCCGGAUUCAUUGGGUUUAAAGGGUGCGUAGGCUGUGCGUCAAGUCGGGGGUGAAAUUCCGGUGCUCAACACCGGGGCUGCCCUUGAUACUGUCGCGCUGGAGUGCGGAUGCCGCCGGAGGAAUGAGUGGUGUAGCGGUGAAAUGCUUAGAUAUCACUCAGAACACCGAUUGCGAAGGCAUCUGGCGAAUCCGUAACUGACGCUGAGGCACGAAAGCGUGGGGAUAGAACAGGAUUAGAUACCCUGGUAUUCCACGCCGUAAACGAUGAUGGCUAACCGCCGGCGACACACUGUCGGUGGCCAAGCGAAAGCGAUAAGCCAUCCACCUGGGGAGUACGUCGGCAACGAUGCAACUC
rnacentral:rRNA from 1 species